rnacentral:misc_RNA from 1 species
AGAAGAGCAGUCGAGGAAAUUUUCAGACGACAUUCCGACAUUGUUAACGCAUGCGGAAGCCAUGGAUGGCGGCGGCGACCAUGCGAAGGUGAAAUGGAAGUCCGGUGAUGGUGAAAAUGGGGAAGAGGAUGACGCCGGAGAAGGUCAACGUCUAUGGCGCAAAUCACAUCGGCAGAAUAUCCGGCGAGAUCUGGAGGAGAGAGAAGGAGCUAGGGUUUG